AAUAUAUAUAAUUUAUCUGAAUUUUAAAAUAUUUUAAAUUAGCUCUCCAAACAAUUAAACUUUUAAUUUUACUAUCAGAUUGUUUAUAGACAUUUUGAUUUCAGAAUUUAAGUUAAUUAUUUUAAAAAUAAAUUUAUAAUUAUGAGAAUUGUAUGAAGUAUACUAAUUAAAUUUAUAAAAAAAAUAAUAUAUUCAUAUUUUAAAAUUAAAAUAUCGUUGACUAACUCAAAUCAAACAAAUUGAAAGAUUGAAUAAUAAAAUUAAUUGAAAAAUUAAAUAGUCAAAUUAAAAUAAUCUAUAGUUUAGAUAAGUUUUGUACUUUU
rnacentral:lncRNA from 1 species